AUGAUCGUCACGUUCAGGCUGCAAGGUGAAGCACUGCACUCCGGGUCAGCUUCUAGCAGGCCCGAGAAGAGCACGUCUGAUUGCAUGCGGGUUGGUACCCCAGACCCCACCUCUGAGAAAAAGACAUCAGCUAAGACCCCUCCUCCGAUGGUCCAGCCCAGUACCAGCCUGAGUACAUUUUUUGGAGAUACAAUGAGCUCUAAUUCCUUGCCCUCUGACUUCUUUGAUUCCUUCACAACUUCUAUUUUCAUUUCGGUCAGUAAUCCCAACGCAGGUUCCCCAGUUCCAAAAAAGCUGUCUUCCCUUGCUGCCCCUAUAGGAGAAAAGUCACCGGAUUUCACCAGCCCAUCUUACUCCACAAGGAUGGAUAGAUCGGAAUCAGGUGUUUCUCAGGCUCCUCAGGGACAUUUGGAGAUGUCCCUGAAUCUCCAAAGCCAUUCUCACAGAUCCAGGCUGUGUUCGCUGGGAGUGAUGACCCCUUCGCCACAGUCCUGAGCAUGAGCGAAAUGGACCGGAGAAAUGACGCAUGGCUUCCCAGUCAGGCGACCAGAGAAGUCCUGAUGUCAGUAGCAACCCAGCAGUAUGGCACUAUAUUCAUAGACAAGGAGAACCCCACUAUGCACGGCCUCAAGUUUGACAACAUUCAGGGAAAUGCAGUUAAAGACUCAAUGGUUCACUUCCUGGGUGAGAAAGCUGCAGCAAAGAGACAAGUCUUAAAUGCCAGCUCGGUGGAGCAGUCCUUUGUGGGGCUGAAGCAGCUCAUUAGCAGCAGGAACUGGAGGGCAGCAGUUGACCUGUGUGGACACCUGCUCACAGCCCAAGGACAAGGCUAUGACAAGAGCGGGCUGCCCACCAACCACACCACGGAUUCCUUGCAGCUCUGGUUUGUGAGGCUGGCGCUGGUGGUGAAGUUGGGCCUUUUCCAGAAUGCCGAGAUGGAAUUUGAACACUUUGGAAAUCUGGAUCAAGCAGACCUGUAUUAUGAAUACUACCCACAUGUGUACCCAGGACACAGGGGCUCCAUGGUCUCCUUUUGAAUGCAUAUUCUGCAUGCAGAACUACAGCAGUAUCUGGGGUACCCACAGGAGUCCCUGGACCGAUUACACAGGGUCAAGACUGUCUGCAGCAAGAUCCAGGCCAACUUGGAGCAAGGCUUAGCUGAAGAAGGUGAUCUGAGCAGCAUCACUCAGGAAAGCAGGCUGUGA